rnacentral:rRNA from 1 species
UACAGAGGGUGCUAGCGUUAAUCGGAUUUACUGGGCGUAAAGCGUGCGUAGGCGGUUUGUUAAGUCGGUUGUGAAAGCCCCGGGCUCAACCUAGGAAUUGCAGUCGAUACUGGCAGACUAGAGAACGGUAGAGGGAGGCGGAACUCCGGGUGUAGCGGUGAAAUGCGUAGAUAUCCGGAAGAACACCGAUGGCGAAGGCAACCUCCUGGGCCUGUUCUGACGCUGAGGCACGAAAGCGUGGGUAGCAAACAGG